ACGUUCGGGUAAUCGCUGCAAUGAGCGUAUGCAAAUUGUAGAGGAAAGUCCAUGCUCGCACAAGCUGAGAUGCUUGUAGUGUUCGUGCCUAGCGAAUUCAUAAGCUAGGGCAGCUGGUUUAGUCCAGCUGACGGCUGGGAAAGUACCUAAGUCCUUUUGGAUAUGGUAUGAUUACCUAUAAAAGUGCCACAGUGACGAUGCCUUCUUAGAAAUGAGAAGGGUGGAACGGGUAAACCCCACGAGCGAGAAACCCAAAUUAUGGUAGGGGCACCUUCUCUGAGGAAAUGAACGAGGAGAAGGACAGAUUCGUUUGAAUCUGUAGAUAGAUGAUUACCGCCUUAGUACGAGGCUGAAAUGCCGCUUGAAGUACUUGGGAACAGAACAUGGCUUAUAGAA
rnacentral:RNase_P_RNA from 3 species